GACGCGAUGUACUAUGAAAUUUCGCGGUGAGACGUUGAAUCCAAUUUCUCUUAAUCAGCGGGUCCUAGGUUCGAGCCCUAGUGCGUCCACCA
rnacentral:tRNA from 1 species